CCCUUAGUGGAUAGGGAUAAAUUAGUUUUCAUUUGAAUUCAAAAUUUGAUUUGAAUUCAAAUGUGCAAUUACUCAUCUUUAUCCUCUCACGUGGAUAAGACCUUGGUUGUUGUUUUAAAAGGAGGAGAAGAGUGAGGCAUGUGCAAGAAAAUUUUUGAAGAGAAAAUCUGGGUGUGAGGAAUCCUUGUGUGCAAGGUGAAGGUCUAUAUCCUUCCGAGAGAAAAAGAAAGAAAAGAAAGAAAAAGUGUGCGCAGGGUUUCAGUGAGU
rnacentral:lncRNA from 1 species